rnacentral:rRNA from 1 species
UACAGAGGUCUCAAGCGUUGUUCGGAUUCAUUGGGCGUAAAGGGUGCGUAGGCGGCGCGGUAAGUCGGGUGUGAAAUUCGAUGGCUUAACUCGAAACUGCAUUCGAUACUGCCGUGCUUGAGGACUGGAGAGGAGACUGGAAUUUACGGUGUAGCGGUGAAAUGCGUAGAUAUCGUAAGGAAGACCAGUGGCGAAGGCGGGUCUCUGGACAGUUCCUGACGCUGAGGCACGAAGGCCAGGGGAGCAAACGGGGAUUAGAA